GAAACAGUAGCAAGACUGGCUUUUUAGCAUGUUUGCUCGCUUUCUCCUUAUUCUGCCAACAAUCAGUCAUAUUUAGCAAAUUCUCUGGCGUGUGUAUUGCAAUGUUUGUUCUAGCAAAAGCACGACAAUUUCUUGUAAGUUGACCAGCACCUUCAGGUUAGAACCCAUCUUUCUUUCUUGCAUUUGCUGAUGAGUUAGGCAAGAAAAAGCAAGGGUCAACACUCCCAAGCAGUUACUUUGAAAGGGGCAAGACAAUAAUUGGACCUCCACCUGAAAUCCAUAGUUGAAUGGCCCACGUGUCUCCAAUCUGUGAAUCCAUUCACUCUUUCCUGCUGUGAUAUAUAGGCUCCAUUGGCCAAUAUAUGUCAAUUAUAACUGAGCAAAACGACAAACAGUAAUUUUCUUGACCAAUGGUGACUAAGUGGCUUUCUGGUUUUGACUUGUACCAAUCUUAUAAAUAGCCAAAGCAACUAUUUCACAGAAAACGGCUAAGUCCGCUAGGAGUUAGUAGUGAGGCAUUGGCUGGAAAACGCGCUAGAGGUGAAUUGAAGGCUCUAGAUCUCCAAAUAGAAUCAUCCAGUGGAAGGGUCUGUUUCCCAGUUCCAAAUUACCAUUAGGUUAACUGGUGAUUCAAAUAAGACUGUUGGACUUACUUCACCUUGCUCAGUCGAGGACCUAGAUUCACUUGUAGCCCUGCAAAGCUUGUACCUUUCUCCAAGUAUUUCAGUUUCACUCAUGAUGGAUGCCCCAAAACUUGGGCCAUAUGUAAAUUUUUGUGCCUCACUGGUUCUGUUUCUUUGUUCAGUUCCAGAUUAUGAUAUCUCUGUUGUUGAUUUUAGCAUGAAGAAUGCCACUUAUGCUUUUUUAUCCUUGUAUUCUUUAUGCAAUGACUUGGAAUGUAGCCUGCAUAUAUUCACAAUUCCUGGCUAGGAACAACCCAAAUUGCUGCA